GAUGAACGCUGGCGGCGUGCCUAAUACAUGCAAGUCGAGCGAACAGACGAGGAGCUUGCUCCUCUGACGUUAGCGGCGGACGGGUGAGUAACACGUGGAUAACCUACCUAUAAGACUGGGAUAACUUCGGGAAACCGGAGCUAAUACCGUAUAAUAUAUUGAACCGCAUGGUUCAAUAGUGAAAGACGGUUUUGCUGUCACUUAUAGAUGGAUCCGCGCCGCAUUAGCUAGUUGGUAAGGUAACGGCUUACCAAGGCAACGAUGCGUAGCCGACCUGAGAGGGUGGUCGGCCACACUGGAACUGAGACACGGUCCAGACUCCUACGGGAGGCAGCAGUAGGGAAUCUUCCGCAAUGGGCGAAAGCCUGACGGAGCAACGCCGCGUGAGUGAUGAAGGUCUUCGGAUCGUAAAACUCUGUUAUUAGGGAAGAACAAAUGUGUAAGUAACUAUGCACGUCUUGACGGUACCUAAUCAGAAAGCCACGGCUAACUACGUG
rnacentral:rRNA from 1 species